rnacentral:tRNA from 1 species
UUUCAGGUAGCUCAGCUGGUUAGAGCAAAGGACUGAAAAUCCCUUUAUGAGUCCACUACCUGAAUC